AGUUCUUCCUAAGUUCACAACCCAAGAUACGAUGCUCGGGUUCAUGUCAACUUACACCGAAGUAAAAAUGUGCUGGCGAAUUUAAACGAGGCGAAAGUUUUAAGUUACAACAUUACAUACAAUUAUAAACAAUAUAUAUACAGUGAUUAACAAUUGGGGUGCUAUUUGUGUUACGAAAGAAUGUUUACAGUAUAAAUUUGGUGGUGGGGCUUCUUAAGUUGUCUAUAGGUUUUGAAUUCGUGUAGCUGGAUCUAAUGCAAUCGUCUAGGAUAGUGAUGAAUUUUGGAGUUAUGUUAAACAGCAUCCCACUCACUCACCUCCUCCGCGUCCACGUAUACUGAUCACCAUAUCCACCAUUUGGACUGAUGAACAAUGGCAGCAUAUGCUUUGUAAACAGCGAGCUGCAGGACCUGGCCGUGAUCGUUUUGACAUAUUAAGCUGAAGCUGGCAGCACGGACCAUAUCCAGAUAUGUGCAGGAAUUUGGUGGCUCGCCCGGGACCGCCUCAUAUGAGGCACUGGCGACUGAAAACAGCAGGCAAAUUUGGAACUUUUGAACCUGGCCCUUUAGAGGAUAAUUGCAACACCACGGUUUUCGCAAUCAUUGCCGACGACGGGAGCUCCAGCAUCUGCAUUCUCAUCUGCUUGAUGUCCCCCUGCUCUAUUCCUAUCGUGAAGCUCUUCGGCCAGACGUACACACGGCAGAACUUUAAAGUUGCACUGCCAUCAGCCCAAGAAUGCGGAAGAUAAAAAUAUCUAGCAGAAACACACUUAAUGCCAUCGAAAAUUUUGAUUCGAGAGAAGUGAGAGAAAUUAAGAGAAAAGUUAGGCAACUAUGUAAAAAAUAAAAGCCUAUAUCUUUUUUAAAGUCAGUAUUUUAAAACGGUAACACCAAGACCCUAUUUCCUAUCGAUAUCGAACUGUUACCGUUUU
rnacentral:misc_RNA from 1 species